rnacentral:tRNA from 1 species
GGUGGGUUAGCUCAGUGGUUGAAACCUAGGCUUGUGACCGCAAGGUCCUGGGUUCGAAUCCCGUCACAUGCUG